rnacentral:rRNA from 1 species
AUGGGAGGAUUGCCCCGUUGGAUCAAGGAGCUUCACAAACUUGCAAAGUUAACUCUGCGUGACACUUACUUGGGAGAAGAAGAUAUAAAUUCCCUUGGCAAACUUAGUGGGUUACGCAGUCUCAGGCUGCGUCACAAGUCAUAUGUCCAAACCAAGUUUACCUUUCAGGAAGACGAAUUCAAAAAUCUUGAGUUCAUAAGCAUCGAAGGAUCAGACAUUACUGACAUCCACUUCAACAGCACCCCUAAGCUUGAGAAGAUAGUUUGGGACUUCAAAGAGAUGAACUCAAUUCAUGGAAUCAGCCACCUUCCACGCCUCAGCCGUCUUGAGCUUAUUGGCAACUGCAACCCAACUACUAUCAAAGCAGAUCUUUCGAAACAUCCAAACAAACCUGUGGUAACUCACAACGGACAGUGCUGA